UACGAAGGGGGCUAGCGUUGCUCGGAAUUACUGGGCGUAAAGCGCACGUAGGCGGCUUGUUAAGUCAGGGGUGAAAUCCUGGAGCUCAACCUCCAGAACUGCCUUUGAUACUGGCGAGCUUGAGUUCGGGAGAGGUGAGUGGAACUGCGAGUGUAGAGGUGAAAUUCGUAGAUAUUCGCAAGAACACCAGUGGCGAAGGCGGCUCACUGGCCCGAUACUGACGCUGAGGUGCGAAAGCGUGGGGAGCAAACAGG
rnacentral:rRNA from 1 species